rnacentral:rRNA from 1 species
AAACCCCCUAUGUGACCGUUACCAAAAUGUUUCCUCGGCGGGGAAUUUAUUCAUGCCCCGGGCGCGUCGCAGCCCCGGACCAAGGCGCCCGCCGGAGGACCAACCAAAAACUCUUUUGUAUGUCCCCUCGCGGACUUUUAUAAUUCUGAACCAUCUCGGCGCCCCUUGCGGGCGUUUCGAAAAUGAAUCAAAACUUUCAACAACGGAUCUCUUGGUUCUGGCAUCGAUGAAGAACGCAGCGAAAUGCGAUAAGUAAUGUGAAUUGCAGAAUUCAGUGAAUCAUCGAAUCUUUGAACGCACAUUGCGCCCGCCAGUAUUCUGGCGGGCAUGCCUGUCCGAGCGUCAUUUCAACCCUCGAACCCCUCCGGGGGUACGGCGUUGGGGAUCGGCCCUUUACGGGCCCGGCCCCGAAAUACAGUGGCGGUCUCGCCGGCAGCCUCUCCUGCGCAGUAGUUUGCACACUGGGCAUCGGGAGNGCGGCGCGUCCACGUCCGUAAAACACCCAACUUG